rnacentral:misc_RNA from 1 species
CCUGGUUAUUCCAUAACCCCUUUUUGUUGUCCCGACUUCCUGUUGCCCUCCCGGGGCGACCCCCUGCCCUUCCGGGCGGGGGCCUCCCGGGUGGACACUUCAAACUCUUGCGUAACUUUGCAGUCUGAGUAAACUUAAUUAAUAAAUUAAAACUUUUAACAACGGAUCUCUUGGUUCUGGCAUCGAUGAGAACGCAGCAGAAUCAUUACAAGAACGCCGGGCUUGGCCUGGUUAUUCAUAA